UACAGAGGUGGCAAGCGUUGUUCGGAAUUACUGGGCGUAAAGGGCGCGUAGGCGGUCUUGUAAGUCUUGUGUGAAAUCCCUCGGCUUAACUGAGGAACUGCACGGGAUACUGCGAGACUUGAGUUCGGGAGAGGGAAGCGGAAUUCCGGGUGUAGCGGUGGAAUGCGUAGAGAUCCGGAAGAACACCAGUGGCGAAGGCGGCUCACUGGCCCGAUACUGACGCUGAGGCACGAAAGCGUGGGGAGCAAACAGG
rnacentral:rRNA from 1 species